rnacentral:rRNA from 1 species
ACUGCUGGAAACGGCAGCUAAGACCGGAUGUGCCCUUGGGUGAAAUAUUCAUAGCCAAAAGAGGAGCUCGCGACCGAUUAGCUAGUUGGUGGGGUAAGAGCCUACCAAGGCUGCGAUCGGUAGCCGGUUUGAGAGGACGACCGGCCACACUGGGACUGAGACACGGCCCAGACUCCUACGGGAGGCAGCAGUGGGGAAUUUUCCGCAAUGGGCGAAAGCCUGACGGAGCAAUACCGCGUGAGGGAGGAAGGCUCUUGGGUCGUAAACCUCUUUUCUCAGGGAAGAAGCAAUGACGGUACCUGAGGAAUCAGCAUCGGCUAACUCCGUGCCAGCAGCCGCGGUAAUACGGAGGAUGCAAGCGUUAUCCGGAAUGAUUGGGCGUAAAGCGUCCGCAGGUGGCACAUCAAGUCUGCUGUCAAAGCCCCCAGCUUAACUGGGAAGAGGCGGUGGAAACUGGUGAGCUAGAGAGCAAUAGGGGUAGAGGGAAUUCCCGGUGUAGCGGUGAAAUGCGUAGAGAUCGGGAAGAACACCAGUGGCGAAAGCGCUCUACUAGGUUGCAACUGACACUGAGGGACGAAGCAUAG